AGCUUUGUGCGGUACCAGCAUCAUAGCCAAUGACGUUUAUCCGAGGCAUAAUUAUUGCUAAUUGAAAACUGUUCCCAACUGGGUCUUCCAGGAUGGCAUACCCUUGGCACUGAAGAGGCUCA
ensembl:snRNA U4 U4 spliceosomal RNA